rnacentral:rRNA from 1 species
GAUCAUGGCUCAGGAUGAACGCUGACAGAAUGCUUAACACAUGCAAGUCUUUGGCAAAUCUGUGCUUGCACAGCCUAGCCAAGGCGGACGGGUGAGUAACGCGUAAAGAACUUGCCCUGCAGAUAGGGAUAACAGACGGAAACGACUGAUAACACCUGAUACAAUUGCCGGCACGCAUGUGCCUGGCAAUGAAAAGAGAUGCUGCAGGAGAG